rnacentral:rRNA from 1 species
AUUGAACGCUGGCGGCAGGCCUAACACAUGCAAGUCGAGCGGAUGAAGGGAGCUUGCUCCUGGAUUCAGCGGCGGACGGGUGAGUAAUGCCUAGGAAUCUGCUGGCUAGUGGGGGAGAACGUCCGGAAACGGGCGCUAAUACCGCAUACGUCCUGAGGGAGAAAGUGGGGGAGCUUCGGACCUCACGCUAUCAGAUGAGCCUAGUUCGGAUUAGCUAGUUGGUGGGGUAAAGGCCUACCAAGGCGACGAUCCGUAACUGGUCUGAGAGGAUGAUCAGUCACACUGGAACUUAGACACGGUCCAGACGCCUACGGGAGGCAGCAGUGGGGAAUAUUGGACAAUGGGCGAAAGUCUGAUCCAGCCAUGCCGCGUGUGUGAAGAAGGUCUUCGGAUUGUAAAGCACUUUAAGUUGGGAGGAAGGGCAGUAAGUUAAUACCUUGCUGUUUUGACGUUACCAACAGAAUAAGCACCGGCUAACUUCGUG